rnacentral:rRNA from 1 species
ACGCUCGACACCUACGGGAGCAGCAGUGGGGAAUAUUGCACAAUGGGGGGAACCCUGAUGCAGCGACGCCGCGUGAGUGAAGAAGUACUUCGGUAUGUAAAGCUCUAUCAGCAGGGAAGAAAAUGACGGUACCUGACUAAGAAGCCCCGGCUAACUACGUGCCAGCAGCCGACGGUAAUCUGAGGCGGCGUGGACGAAGGC